CCUACGGGGGGCAGCAGUGGGGGAUAUUGCACAAUGGAGGAAACUCUGAUGCAGCAACGCCGCGUGAGGGAAGAAGGUCUUCGGAUUGUAAACCUCUGUCCUCAGGGACGAUAAUGACGGUACCUGAGGAGGAAGCUCCGGCUAACUACGUGCCAGCAGCCGCGGUAAUACGUAGGGAGCAAGCGUUGUCCGGAUUUACUGGGUGUAAAGGGUGCGUAGGCGGCCCUGCAAGUCAGGUGUGAAAACUAUGGGCUUAACUCAUAGAUUGCACUUGAAACUAUGGGGCUUGAGUGAAGUAGAGGCAGGCGGGCGGCGAGGUGGCGGGGUAAAGUGAGGGGAGAAGGGGAAGAAGAGCGGGGGAGGGGGUGGCCUACUGGGUAUUAGCGGAGGCUGAGGGACGAGAGGGUGGGAAGCAAAGCGAAGAAGAUACGGGAGGCUUCCUGUCGCUAAUACCCGCGGGGAGACCAGAAGAUGAGGAUG
rnacentral:rRNA from 1 species